rnacentral:rRNA from 1 species
GCAGCCGCGGUAAUACGUAGGUGGCGAGCGUUAUCCGGAAUUACUGGGUGUAAAGGGUGUGUAGGCGGGGAGGCAAGUCAGAUGUGAAAAUUAUGGGCUCAACCCAUAACCUGCAUUUGAAACUGUUUCUCUUGAGAGUGGGAGAGGUAAACGGAAUUCCUGGUGUAGUAGUGAAAUGCGUAGAUAUCAGGAGGAACACCGGUGGCGAAGGCGGUUUACUGGACCACAACUGACGCUGAGACACGAAAGCGUGGGGAGCAAACAGGAUUAGAUACCCC